rnacentral:rRNA from 1 species
AUUGAACGCUGGCGGCAGGCCUAACACAUGCAAGUCGAACGGUAACAGGAAGAAGCUUGCUUCUUUGCUGACGAGUGGCGGACGGGUGAGAAAUGUCUGGGAAACUGCCUGAUGGAGGGGGAUAACUACUGGAAACGGUAGCUAAUACCGCAUAACGUCGCAAGACCAAAGAGGGGGACCUUCGGGCCUCUUGCCAUCGGAUGUGCCCGGAUGGGAUUAGCUAGUAGGUGGGGUAACGGCUCACCUAGGCGACGAUCCCUAGCUGGUCUGAGAGGAUGACCAGCCACACUGGAACUGAGACACGGUCCAGACUCCUACGGGAGGCAGCAGUGGGGAAUAUUGCACAAUGGGCGCAAGCCUGAUGCAGCCAUGCCGCGUGUAUGAAGAAGGCCUUCGGGUUGUAAAGUACUUUCAGCGGGGAGGAAGGGAGUAAAGUUAAUACCUUUGCUCAUUGACGUUACCCGCAGAAGAAGCACCGGCUAACUCCGUG